UAAACUCUUCACCUGGGGUCAUUACACCGGCCAUUCUGGAAGAGGUUGAUGGCGAUUUGGUCAAAGUAUCGUGGGUAGGGUCAACAUUACUUGGAACGUUCUCAAUGUGCGGACUGUCACUGGUUUGAUCCUUACGUUUGGAGUCAUAGCAGGUUUAGGUUGUGGUCUGGCUGCUAACGUGAGUGGCGUGGCCCCCAGCAACUACUUCAAUAAGAGACUCCCAGUGGCAUACGGUAUCUGCAUGUCUGGAGGUGCAGUAGGACUGCUGGUAAUCGGACCAUUAACAGUUCAGCUGUUGGAGAUGUACACUUUAUCCGGCGCGUUGCUUAUUUUGGGUGCCAUUACAUUCAAUUUGUGCUUAGUUGGAGCUCUAAUUCGACCAUCAUCUACUCUGAUGCAA